GGCAGUUCUCGGGUGACGCAUCCCAGAAUCGGGCUCCCUCUUCUUGGUUCCAGGUGCAUCACCAGAGAACUGCA
rfam:Myotis davidii contig41862, whole genome shotgun sequence.